GAACGCUGGCGGCAGGCCUAACACAUGCAAGUCGAACGGUAACAGGAAGCAGCUUGCUUCUUGCUGACGAGUGGCGGACGGGUGAGUAAUGUCUGGGAAACUGCCUGAUGGAGGGGGAUAACUACUGGAAACGGUAGCUAAUACCGCAUAACGUCGCAAGACCAAAGAGGGGGACCUUCGGGCCUCUUGCCAUCGGAUGUGCCCAGAUGGGAUUAGCUUGUGGUGGGGUAACGGCUCACCAGGCGACGAUCCCUAGCUGGUCUGAGAGGAUGACCAGCCACACUGGAACUGAGACACGGUCCAGACUCCUACGGGAGGCAGCAGUGGGGAAUAUUGCACAAUGGGCGCAAGCCUGAUGCAGCCAUGCCGCGUGUAUGAAGAAGGCCUUCGGGUUGUAAAGUACUUUCAGCGGGGAGGAAGGGAGUAAAGUUAAUACCUUUGCUCAUUGACGUUACCCGCAGAAGAAGCACCGGCUAACUCCGUGCCAGCAGCCGCGGUAAUACGGAGGGUGCAAGCGUUAAUCGGAAUUACUGGGCGUAAAGCGCACGCAGGCGGUUUGUUAAGUCAGAUGUGAAAUCCCCGGGCUCAACCUGGGAACUGCAUCUGAUACUGGCAAGCUUGAGUCUCGUAGAGGGGGGUAGAAUUCCAGGUGUAGCGGUGAAAUGCGUAGAGAUCUGGAGGAAUACCGGUGGCGAAGGCGGCCCCC
rnacentral:rRNA from 1 species